AAACGGGUGGCGUCAAGCUGCGCACCGGGAGAAUUCAGUCGGCUAGGAUGUUGUGUAUGCGCUUGCGCAUCUAUCAGUCAGGGUAAGAUUGGACGGUCCACUGGGAUACGGUGGGCCCUGCCGCAAGGUGGGGAUUUGUGUACCGGGUGGAAGCCGGAGCAUGCCGUUCGUCUGUUGGACUGCCUAGCCGGUGCACUUUCUCUGUUGGUGGACACCACGACCGGUGGAACUGCCAGUCUGCUAUGGUCAAGUCGUAUUCGGUGCGUCCUUGUGGCAAACUGGGUGCGAUCACGGGCAAAUUCGGUGUACGGCGUGGGUGUAUCUUUCGAGGUGCGCUCACGUGUUAUCGGCCACUGGUUGUCUUAACGGGCCUGCCUAGCGAUUGUUAUAGCCGUCGUUGGGUGGUCUGGUGGACUAUAGCGGUAAGCAUAACUGUGCAGGGCACUGGAGUGUUCGGCCUCAAAUGCAGUCUACAUGCACGCUAUAAGUGUGUGGCUGGGUAUCGUGUCAGCCUGCCUGUCGUCGGGUCUGACUGUCGUGUUGCCUGCGAAAAGUGGGUCCGGCAGUGGCUUGAUGUGGGUUGGAGUUGUGCGCGGUGCCUGCGGUGUAGGCUGUGGUGGGCCAGACAGUCAGUGGUGUAGUGGUAGACGAGCUACCCGACCCGUCUUGAAACACGGACCAAGGAGUUCAACAUGUAUGCAAGUCAAAGGGUCCUACGAAACCCCAAGGCGCAGUGAAAGUGAAGCUGCGGCACCCUCGUGGUGUCGUAGUGAGGUGAGAUUCUGUCGUUACUCGCAUCACCUGCCAGCAGCAGGCAUCAAGAGCGGCAGACGCAUCACCGGCCCGUCCCAUGGUGUGGUUGCUGGAAAAGGCUGCAGGUGGUCUCCGCUUGUAGUACUGCCAGUACGUCAUCGGGGCGGAGCAUGAGCAUACACGUUGAGACCCGAAAGAUGGUGAACUAU
rnacentral:rRNA from 1 species